GACGAACGCUGGCGGCGUGCUUAACACAUGCAAGUCGAACGAAGAGCGAUGGAAGCUUGCUUCUAUCAAUCUUAGUGGCGAACGGGUGAGUAACGCGUAAUCAACCUGCCCUUCAGAGGGGGACAACAGUUGGAAACGACUGCUAAUACCGCAUACGAUCCAAUCUCGGCAUCGGGACUGGAUGAAAGGUGGCCUCUAUUUAUAAGCUAUCACUGAAGGAGGGGAUUGCGCCUGAUUAGCUAGUUGGAGGGGUAACGGCCCACCAAGGCGAUGAUCAGUAGCCGGUCUGAGAGGAUGAACGGCCACAUUGGGACUGAGACACGGCCCAGACUCCUACGGGAGGAAGCAGUGGGGAAUCUUCCGCAAUGGACGAAAGUCUGACGGAGCAACGCCGCGUGAGUGAUGACGGCCGUCGGGUUGUAAAGCUCUGUUAAUCGGGACGAAUGGUUCUUGUGCGAAUAGUGCGAGGAUUUGACGGUACCGGAAUAGAAAGCCACGGCUAACUACGUG
rnacentral:rRNA from 1 species